GAAUUAAUAUGUAAAUGACAGGCCCUGUUGGGCAACUUAAUGGAGUGAAGGAAGAAUCAGAGAGACCCUGAGAACAGAUCCAGGACAGGCACAUGACAGACUGCCUAUCAGCAAUUCACAGUAAUUAAUAUCAUCAUCAGCUAAUGGGCCCUUUUCACAGAGCUUGAUGACGUGUUUCCGGUUUGGUUUAGCAGGGUAAACACAGCGGCGCUAGAAUGGAGUUCACUGCUGUCUCUGCACAAACUUCUAUUGAUUUCUUUCUCCGACAUCUCACUGAUUAUAGAUGAGGUAUCAGUAGCGAAAAUAUCGAAGGUUGAAAAGGAUUACAAGCUUUUUGUCGAGGAAUACAUCUUUAAUUUUGAGGGUGACUUCAUACCACCCAGAUCCUGUGGAGGUAAUAAAGACAUCGUGCAAGUGUUGCCGGGAAGGCCUUUUCCAAUCAUACUAUUGCUCUGCUUUAUCAGAUUGCCCAUUAAAGCACCAUGGGCUUUAAAACAGUCCCUCUCCCAGCAGCAUGUUCUGUUAUAGUUUGUUUUUUGUGGAAAUAUGGAAUUUUCUAAAUAAACUUGUAUUCUUUG